ensembl:miRNA Mir6964 microRNA 6964
CCCCCUUGGGGUGUGAGACUGGAAACAUCACCAUUGUUCUUUCUUGUCUUCCAUUCUAG